UACGAAGGGGGCUAGCGUUGUUCGGAAUUAUUGGGCGUAAAGCGCACGUAGGCGGACCUUUAAGUCAGGGGUGAAAUCCCGGGGCUCAACCCCGGAACUGCCUUUGAUACUGGGUGUCUCGAGUCCGGAAGAGGUGAGUGGAAUUCCGAGUGUAGAGGUGAAAUUCGUAGAUAUUCGGAGGAACACCAGUGGCGAAGGCGGCUCACUGGUCCGGUACUGACGCUGAGGUGCGAAAGCGUGGGGAGCAAACAGG
rnacentral:rRNA from 1 species